rnacentral:tRNA from 1 species
AGCCCCCUCGUCUAGCGGUCAAGGAUGGCAGGCUCUGGACCUGCAGACACUGGUUCAAAUCCGGUGGGGGCUA